rnacentral:rRNA from 1 species
CACGUACUGUGCGAACGUUAUUCGGAAUCACUGGGCUUAAAGGGUGCGUAGGCGGUUUAUCAAGUCAGAUGUGAAAUGCCUGAGCUCAACUGAGGCACUGCGUUUGAAACUGAUAGACUUGAGUAUUCCAGGGGUAUGCGGAACUGCCAGUGGAGCGGUGAAAUGCGUUGAUAUUGGCAGGAACACCGGUGGCGAAGGCG